GUAUUGCUGAAGAGUCUCAAACUAGGCUAACGAAACAGCUGUCCAGUAC
rfam:Trichobilharzia regenti genome assembly, scaffold: TRE_scaffold0011587